AUGAAAUGUUGUGUGAUUCUACACAACAUGAUCCUAGAGGAUGAGAGAGCGUUAAACCUCCCUUGUUUCUAUGACAAUGUUGGUACCCGUGUGCAACCGGAAAGAAACCCUUCUCGCAUACACGCUUUUCUUCAAGCACAUCAUGAGAUUGAGGAUGCAACCACUCAUGGUUGGCUCCGGGAUGAUCUAGUAGAGCACCACUGGCAGUUGGAUGGGCGGCGCAUUGGCCCAUGA
rnacentral:rRNA from 1 species